AUUGAACGCUGGCGGCAGGCUUAACACAUGCAAGUCGAGCGAGCGGCGGACGGGUGAGUAAUGUCUGGGAAACUGCCUGAUGGAGGGGGAUAACUACUGGAAACGGUAGCUAAUACCGCAUACCAUCAGAUGUGCCCAGAUGGGAUUAGCUCGUAGGUGGGGUAAUGGCUCACCUAGGCGCCGAUCCCUAGAUGGUCUGAGAGGAUGACCAGGCACACUGGAACUGAGACACGGUCCAGACUCCUACGGGAGGCAGCAGUGGGGAAUAUUGCACAAGGGGCGAAGUCCUGAUGCAGCCAUGCCGCUGGUGGGAAGAAGGCCUUCGGGUUGUAAAGCACUUUCAGCGAGGAGGCGGUACUCGCAGAAGAAGCACCGGCUAACUCCGUGCCAGCAGCCGCGGUAAUUC
rnacentral:rRNA from 1 species